AUGGUGGAGCCAGACAUCAUUCGAAUGUAUUCUUCAUCCCCACCACCACUGGCCAAUGGAGCAGAGGAUGAUGAUGAUGAUGAAUUUGGGGAAUUUGGUGGGUUUUCAGAAGUUAGCCCUUCUGGUGUAGGGUUUGUUGGUUUUGAUACACCAGAUUAUACUUGUCCCAAGGAAGAAUUUGUUCCUUCAAACCAUUUUUUGCCAAUUCAUGAUUUCUCAGAAAAUGUAGAUAGCCUUACAAGCUUUAAGUCCACUAAAAAUGGUAAUGAUAAGGACAUUGCUGUUGAACUUUCAACUCCUGUGAAAGGACAAUCUGAUGUUUUACUUUCUACCACCAGCAAAGAAAGAAUUUCAUCCAAAACUUUAGAUACUUCCAUUGAUGGCAUAGAAAGUCCAGGAAAUUUAAAUAAAGUAGUGGAGCAGAGACAAAAUGUUGGAACACCUGGAAGUUUCUCUCCAGGAGAUUUUAGAACUGAUAAGAUUAUUGUUCAUCAAAACAAGCAGUUAGAGAGCUGCAAUGGUGAAAAGCCUCCCUGUCUGGAGAUUCUAACAAAUGGGUUUGCAGUGUUGGAAACUGUAAAUCCUCAGGAAACAGAUGAUCUGGACAACGUAGCUGAUUCAAAGGGAUGGAAGCCUCUUAGCAUUCAUAGCACUGAGUAUAAUUUAGACUCUGUACCUAGCCCUGCUGAGGAAUUUGCAGAUUUUGCCACAUUUUCCAAAAAGGAAAGGAUACAACUAGAAGAAAUAGGACAUGCAGUUUUAAAUGAUAGAGAAGCACUAAAUAUUCAGGAAAACAAUAAAAUUAACAGAGUCAAUGAACUGAAUUCUGUAAAAGAAGUGUCUUUGGGUAGAAGCUUUGACAAUAAAGGACACACUGAUGGAAAGGAUCAGGUUUGUGUUUCAGAAAUCAGCGUAAUGACUAACAUAGGUUUCAGUGUUGAAAAAGAAGGCCUUCCAACACUGCAACAGUAUGAACUUUUAAAUUCAAGUGUUCAAUCAAAGGCUAGGAGUUUGAUAGACUCAGCUGAUGAUUCAGAAGCCAUUAAGAGUGAACAAUGUAAAACUGAAGAAAAACUUGAUUUAUUUACUUCUAAAUGUGCUGACCUAUGCAAGGAUUCUAUUAAAACUUCUGAUGCUGAUGAUGAAGUUGGUUCUUCCAAAGAAGAAAGUACAAAGUUUACUGAUUUCCAAAGUCCAAACAUUGACCCCACAAAAGAAAAUGUUUUGGAUGAUUCUGUAAGUGUAAAAAAUGGUGAUAGUAGUAAUGACUUUGUGACUUGCAAGGAUACCAAUGAGGAUGAUUUUGGUGCCUUUGGCACAGCCAGAGGCACAACUCCACCUUUUGUUGCUAGUACUCAAGAUUCAAUGAGUGAUGUCACUUUUGAAGAGUCCUCAGAGCACUUUCCACAUUUUAGUGAACCAGGUGAUGACUUUGGAGAAUUUGGGAAUAUGAAUGCUAUUUCCUGCCAAGAGGAAAUGAUAUAUAUCGAGUCAGACCUAAAACAGACUUCUGAUAGUUUAUCAGAGGGAUGUCAGUUGGCAAGAAAGUCUAGUGGAACAGGCACUGAACCUGUUUCAAAACUGAAAAAUGGGCAAGAAGUUGAGUUUGGAGAUUUUGAUUCUGUGCCAAAUAUUCAAGAUGACUGCAAUGCUUUUCAAGACUUUGAUGAUUUUGCAGACUUCAGUUCAGCUGGUCCUACCCAAGUUGUAGAUCGGCAUGCUUAUGAGGAUGAACAAAAAGAUAGUUGUUCUUGGGCUGCUUUUGGAGACCAGGAAGCUACUGAAUCUCAUCAUCGAAAGGAAGCCUGGCAGUCACAUAGGAGAGAUGAAAAUAUUGGUACUCCAGGAACCCCCAAAAUGCACAGUGUCCCUUUAACAACUUCCAAAGGAGCAGUUGCUAGUGGCUAUUUACAGGAAUCAGCCACUUCAGUUCAGACAGCUUUACUAAACCGACUGGAGCGAAUUUUCGAAGCAUGUUUUCCUUCCAUAUUUGUCCCUGAUGCUGAAGAGGAAGUUACUUCCCUAAAGCACUUGCUGGAAACAAGCACCUUGCCAAUAAAAACAAGAGAGGCCUUACCUGAAUAUGGGAACUGCUGGAUGUGCGGACUGAGCUACAGGAUACCCAUGAUGCACAUGGCUUGAGAUAUCAGUGGGCGGCUCCCAUAGCAACAAGCUUUUGUGCUCUUUGGAAUAGACACCAGAAACAUUCUCUUUACGGGCAAUAAGAAGCAGCCUGCUAGUGUCCAUGUAUGCAGCAGGAUUGGGUACCCACCAAGGAACCAUUGAAACCACUAUCUGCUACAGAAAAAAUUGCUUCCAUUGGUCAGGCAGCCACCAUAUCACCAGAGAUUAACCCAUGUACAUCUGAUCAAUUCCAGGAGUCUCUACCACCCAUCCAGUUUGACUGGAGUAGCAGUGGCCUUACUAACCCUUUAGAUGGUAUGGAUCCAGAGUUGUAUGAGUUAACAACUUCUAAGCUGGAAAUCUCCACCUCAAGCCUCAAAGUGACUGAUGCAUUUGCGAGACUUAUGUCCACAGUAGAGAAGACAAGCACAUCUACCAGGAAACCGAAAAGAGAAGAGCACUUGAGUGAAGAAGCUAUCAAGGUGAUCACUAGCCUUGCUGACUUAAUGUUCAUGCAUGCCAAGGUGUUGAUGUUCCCAGCCACGUUAACACCUUACACAAGCUCCCAAGAAAAAGCAGACUGAUAACAGAUGUGAAUUGGGCAGUUUCAAUUGCUUGUCCUGUCCUCCAUCCCUGCCCUACCAUCAAAAGCAUACCUGCUAUAAUU